CCGUUAUGAAACUGAUACUGUACUCUCAUAAAGAAAUUAAGACUCAUUCAUCAUAUCAUAAAUUAAAUAAACGUUCUUGUUCCAAAUCGCAAGUCGCGGGUUUGUUUAUGUAUUAAUGCGCAUGCGUAUAGUUUUCUUGAUUUCAAGGGGUAUCAGAUUGAGUGGUUGUUCUGGAUUCCCCGCUUAUUAAUUAAUUUGAAACUCAUUGGAUUCUUUCUAUGUCUGCCUGCUAUUGAGGGUUUAAUAUUGUUGUUGCAUAAUUUAAAAUCAUAUGCAUCAUUUAAAUUAAAAUCAAUGAAGUUUUACCUAUAACACCCCUUUAGCCGAAAUGGAGUCUUCCAUAUUAUCGUUUCGAGUUGUCUCCCUUUCAGAAGUAUUUCCCGUCAAAAUCGUCAAGAAAAAAUUAACUCGUUAGAUGUCGAUAAACGUCGUAUUAUAUUAAGAACGAUCUCAAUUUAAACAGAGGAGUGUGUACGGAAGGAUUCAUGCCCACUGACCCAAAGGAAAUUAAUAAUUAAAGAGUUAGAAAUGGGGUUCCUCCUAGAAUUAACGGUG
rnacentral:lncRNA from 1 species